rnacentral:rRNA from 1 species
AUUGAACGCUGGCGGCAGGCCUAACACAUGCAAGUCGAACGAGUGGCGGACGGGUGAGUAAUGUCUGGGAAACUGCCUGAUGGAGGGGGAUAACUACUGGAAACGGUAGCUAAUACCGCAUACCAUCAGAUGUGCCCAGAUGGGCUUAGCUUGUUGGUGGGGUAACGGCUUACCAAGGCGACGAUCCCUAGCUGGUCUGAGAGGAUGACAAGCAACACGGGAACUGAGAAACGGGCCAGAGUCCUAAGGGAGGAAGAAGUGGGGAAUAUUGCACAAUGGGCGGAAGCCUGAUGCAGCCAGGCGGCGUGUAGGAAGAGGGCCUUGGGGUUGUAAAGUACUUUCAGCGGGGAGGCGUUACCCGAAGAAGAAGCACCGGCUAACUCCGUGCCAGCAGCCGCGGUAAUUC